GGAUUUGUACCAAGAUCAUGCCAAGAUCUUACAUAAAUCCUGCAAGAUCAUGGAAAGAUCUUGCAUGAUCUUGCAAGAUCUUUCCAAGUUCUUGCAGGAUCUUACCCAAGAUCUUGCAGGAUCUUGCAAGAUCUUGCCAUUAUCAUGGCAAGAUCUUGUCAUGAUCAUGGCAAGAUCUUGCAAGAUGUUUGGCAAGAUCUUGCAAGAUCCUGCAAGAUCUUAGGUAAAUCCUGCAAGAUCUUAGGUAAGAUCCUGCAAGAACUUGGAAAGAUCUUGCAAGAUCUUGCAAGAUCUUUC